CCAACGGCCCUCUUUAGGGCCACAAAUUUCAAAAUCCAUUCUAUU
rnacentral:ncRNA from 14 species